rnacentral:rRNA from 1 species
AAUUUUGGAAAAUGGGCGCAAGCCUGAUCCAGCCAUGCCGCGUGAGUGAAGAAGGACAUCGGGUUGUAAAGCUCUUUCGGACGGAAAGAAAUCGCGCAGGCUAAUACCCUGCGCGGAUCACGGUACCGUCAUAAUAAGCCACGGCUCACACCGACCCAGCAGCCCCGGUAAUACGUAGGGUGCGAUCGUUAAUCGGAAUUACUGGGCGUAAAGCGUGCGCAGGCGGUUGAUUAAGACAGGCGUGAAAUCCCCGGGCUUAACCUGGGAACUGCGCUUGUGACUGGUCAGCUAGAGUACGGCAGAGGGGGGUGGAAUUCCACGUGUAGCAGUGAAAUGCGUAGAGAUGUGGAGGAACACCGAUGGCGAAGGCAGCCCCCUGGGCCGAUACUGACGCUCAUGCACGAAAGCGUGGGUAGCAAACAGGA